CCCGCUCUAAUAACCACUGGACUCGUAGUCCGCGCUGCUGCGAUCGCAGGCAGUGCCCGCUCUAAAUAUCCACUGGACUCGUAGUCCGCGCUGCUGCAGUCGCGAGCCGUGCUCGCUCUUAUACCCUCACCCAUCUUGUUCGGGAUACCUGAUGUCUGAAAUACGUGAACCAGACGCUGACAUACGUUUUCACCCUCCUCCUUCCCCACCGCCUCCAGUUCGGUCCCGCCGGUUGCCCAGGGGAUAGGCUCCGCCCCCGCCGAACAAGUACGGCAGGAUCUGCGAGGUUCCAGACGCUGCGGACCUGGGCUUCGACGGGGCUUUCGCCAAAGACUCCAUAUACACUAUAUUCACUAUUACUAAUUGUCAUACGUGUUUAUUGGGAUUAAAUCUUUCUUGCUGCA